GUCUCCUACUUCCUUCUCUUUGUAGGCUCAGAGAGGGGAACUGUCCUGUAGUGAGUGCUGGCCAGACCUGACCUACUCUAGCAUGUGCUUGCUUAAAAAGAAGACAUUGCUUCCAUGAUGGUUGCCUGGGCCAGGUAUCCAAGAUUCAUCAAUAAAGGGAGACACACAUUCAGACAAACAGUCUAUCAGCAGGGAUCUAUCUGAAGUGGAACAGCCAGGACACAAACCAGCACCCAUGUGUUAUGCCAGUGUUGCAGGUAACAAUGUUAUGUGUUAUGUCACGAUGCCAGCCCACAAUGGUUUUCUUUCAGAAGGCAACAAACAUGUGGAUGAAGCUUUACAUGUCUGUGUCCUACUUACUGAUCCUCUUCAGUCCUGAAUUUUUCAUUAAUCAGCUAAAUCUCUCCAUAAACAGUUUAAAAUUCCUCUUCCUGAUAUUCCUGAAACAAUCUGUAAUUGUUCCCAAUGUGAUCAAACUCCUCAUCCUCAUUAUUUUCCUUUUGCUGCUGUCAACCCUCAAGGCCAUCAUUGUGGGCAGCCACAGGCAGUCGCCCCUUUUGUUUACACUUAAACAUAUGAAUGGAGACACAGACAAUUAGGCUAAGGAGAUUCCAGGAAGAGACAGGAAGAACCUUAUCUCACUGCUAAACUUCUCACAAGAGAUGAUGUAGAUAAUCAGUCACACCUCUGUUAAGAGGAAGAACCUUAUCCGAACUCUUUAGUCUUUUUGAUAUGUAAAUCUUUUGUGCUCCUUCUUGUAUACAACUGGUCAUGUUUAAAUACUACUGGGUUUGUUGAAUAAAGGAGCCUUGAUCAGGACUUGUCUUGGCUCCAUUCUUUGCAUCCUUGUCCCCUCAUUCCCACUUUCUGUUUCAGGAAACCCGGUUCUUUGUGCUGCAGGCCAGCACACAUCAUGCCAAUGAACUUUGACA